rnacentral:rRNA from 1 species
GGGGAGGCAGCAGUGGGGAAUAUUGGGCAAUGGACGCAAGUCUGACCCAGCGACGCCGCGUGCGGGAUGAAGGCCUUCGGGUUGUAAAGCUCUUUUGUCAGGGAAGAAACAGCAGCUCUAACACAGUCUGCGAAUGACGGUACCUGAAGAAGAAGCACCGGCUAACUAUGUGCCAGCAGCCGCGG